AGGAAAUGUCGUCCCCCUUAUCGCCGGUAUCACCUCGCUUUGUGUUCUGCUUGUUAUUAUUAGCUCAAAGGUUACCGAGAGUCAGCUAAACUUUCGCUUUCAUUCACCAUCAAACAACGACUCAUUUAUAUUGUUUAAUUUAUAGCCAGGUUUGUACAGUACUUUAAUUUAUUGAGUGUUUUUGUGCCUCUUUUCAGUCAAACUCAAUGAUUUACCGAAACUCUCCAAAUUGAGAAUUUACUGUUUCUUUCGAUGUUCAGUAUCUACUUUUGAUUUUCUCACUUUUUUAUUUUUCAUAGCGAGUUAUUAAUUGUUAUUUUUAUACUCAACAAUAUUUGUUUUAGUUUUAUAAAGAUUAAUACUGUUCAUCUUUUGAAAGAGCACAAGAUACAAAGGAAACACAUCACAAACAAACCCCCUUUAUAUGAAUAUUCCUAGUUCUGUGCUUAAAUAACAAAUUCUGGAGCUAAAACAAUAUUUAAAAAAACAAGCAAGUGCUGGAAUUCAGGUUUUGUAGAUCUUGAAAUAUAUAAAAAGUUGAGAAAUAAAUACUAAAAAGAAAAUAAGUUAAAUGAACUCCCUACACUUAGAGAAAUACAAAUGUAGACUAGUCACUGAAAACUGAAAAAGUCCAUAAAAGCGAUAAGAAUUUAAAUUGUAUGAUCAUAAAAUAUUACAUAUAUAUUCAAAACAGAAAACAACUAGAAGAGGAGAGUGCUGAUUCAAAAUGAUGAGAGUUUUUGAAUGUGGUCCAGAAAAAUUUAUUAUUUUUAACCGAAAAUGAAGUUUAUUGCCAUUGAGUCCUGAUGGAAUCGUGUUGACUCCUAUUUAUAUACUUAAAAUAAAUUAUUUAUGACAGUACUAGUUUUGCCGACCUAGAAAAGGCCAUAGCAAGUACACUCUUCAUGUAUUUAGAGUAAAUUAUUUACACCAAGACUCCACCUAUGGAAUAUUCAGAAAGCCUGCACAUAGACAAACUGGUGUUCUCCCAGCCUGCAUUAGUUCACUUUAAGAAAACAGGACCUUGGUAUUUCACCCACUGCUCAUAAUCGGUCCAUAUAUUGACAAUUUUCAGUUUCAUUAUGACUUGAUCUCUGACGCAACUCGAAAGUAGAGUGGAGAAUAUCACACCUGAUCAUUAGAAACAUAAAAAUAGGUUUAUUCUUCAUACAGAACCAAGACAAUAUUUCAACAAGCUUUACUGAUUCAUAAAAUAGCAGCAGCCUUAGAAAGAGGCAGUUCAAAAAUAGAGACACCCCUCCUCCUUCCCCCACCAGCUGGGAGAUACAAUCACAGCCAGAGGUAGGUGAACCAAAUAUUUGGCCCCCUCUAAAGUAGGAGCUAACAUGUAACCAAGCAGCCACCUUCCCUGGAGGUAGUGAUAUUCAUGAGAUUAUCAUCUUUUUUUUUUUUAAUUCUAACACCCGGGCAGUGAAACAAAUGCAAGUGCUUUCCAAAACACCAAAUGGGGUUUCUUUGUUCCCAAGUGUGAACCGGGUGUUUGCAAGUGUGGAGCGAGGGGCUGCAGGCGACAGGAUAUGUGGAGCUGCUCUGUGUUGCUAAUUCGCUUGAUUUGCAUUAACUGUUUCCUGCCUGGGCUCAGAUUGUAAUUGCAUACAAUGUUCCAACAUUAACAUUUUGAUGAAGUGUAACUCUGCCUGUAUGCGCAUGAAUGCCAGAGCUGUUGGAUCUUCUGAAUGUUGGCGUCGGGCAGAGCGUAAUUUCUUUUUUAUUCUGCGCCCACAUGGACACUAAAUUGUUCCUUGAAACCGGCAGAUACAAAAGACUCUGGAGCAUCAAAAUUAGGAGACCCAACUCCUGGAUCAGCAUGAACUGUAUGUGAUAUUUAUGGGUACAAAAGUGCUUCACAUAGAUGACAAAAUACAACAGACAAAGCAUAAAAUCAUCCUAUAAUAGAAGAAACUUCAGUUCAAGUGAAAAAAAAAGCAUAUUUAAGUUUGGUUGGGGUUAAAAACAUACAAAUUUGGCUUGACAUGUGCAGAAGAAAACUUGGAUCAGAUGCUCCAAAUGUUGGGUUAAUAGUUUUCUAGUUUUGAUGAAGUAACAAACAUCCCGAUGCACCAAGACGCGUCAGGGAAGAGACGGUUUUCACAUUUUGGAGAACUUGCUGGACCUCGACCUCAUCCAGCAGCUUUGAGAUGAAGCAGAGCGUCCUCCUCCAAAAAACGGUGUCUGAAAUCGGUGCUGUUGUACCUGAAAGAUAGAAAAGAUAUACAUUUUUGUCAUUUGAAGCCUCAGAGCUGCAGAACAAUGUAUGAUGUUUAAAAAUACAACAAAACCUCAUUAUUUAUUUUGCUUGUCUGUCCUAGGAAACAACUUUUCCCCAGCCGGUGGCCAAAAUGUUCAGAUCUUUCCUGUUGCUAUGACUACCACUCAUACCCAGUGACUCAUCACUGACGUGCUGCCAGGGACCGGGUGCCAGCCGGCCUGUUGAAUCACAUUCUCCCUUUCACACACGCACACACUCUCACCCCUCUAGUUAGUGCCUGAAAUAAGAGCCCAGCUGUUGUACUUUGUUCAGUCAUUACAGGCGAGUCUGCACACACACACACACACACACACACACACACACACACACACACACAGAUAUACAGAGUACAUGUGUGUGUUAUUAGCCAUGCUCACAGGCGUGUUUCCUCUGUUCUGUUUAAAUAUGACUUUAAUCCUUUCACUCAAAUCACACUCCACUCUUCUUCUGUUAGUUUUGGUGAUCUGCUAAAUUUACUUUGGGGUAAUAGCCGGGUCUAUGCGUCUAAAUUUGUUCCAAAUAUUUCGUUAUUUAAGGACCAAAACUUAAAACCAAACAACGUCCUUUUUGCCUCUGCCUCUGAACAGUGUUGCUGUGAGCGUGGAUGAUAUACCAGAGUAGUGACAGUGGUUUGAGACUUUUAAAGUUUGUUCAAAUUCACCUGAGAACCUCACAUGUCUGCCUUGCUCAUAGGGAACUGUGACAGGUGGUUGUUUAUUUUAUCAAAUAUGGAGGAGAAAGUUUGAGAUCAGGGCAUGCAGAGUAAAAUAAUGACCCCGGAAGACAGAGCCACCUCCCUGUACUCACAGUUUAAACAGGUCAAGUUCUUUGGUGUCGACUUUUCAGCCUGGACUCUGAGCUCACUCCUGGGUCUCUGCCAAGUUUCUCCACUCCACCUUCUGUGGGCUGGGAGAGGUCUCCUUGUCACCAACACAGACUGCCCUGUUCAUGUCCCUCUCUGUCUCUGUCCCUCCAAACCCAGUUUACCUUUCCUUUACAGGUUUCUUGACUGUCGCUGAGACUCACUGGAGAUGAAUUCCUGAUGUGAUCCAAGUUAAGAGGCUCGUUGCCUUAACUGAGAAAUGUCACUGUAAAAUAUUAUUGGUUUACUUUUAUGUUGCACAAGUAGUGCCUGUCUACAGUAUAAAGGCCAAAACUGAAACUAGAUAACAUUAAUGAUUUACCAAUUAUGUGGGCCACAACCUAGUCUUAUGAAUAAGACGGUGGAUUGUCUUAGUCUAAAAUCGCAAGACUGAGUUGAUUUAAGGACAAGUUGGAAAACUGUUCCACACGUUAGAUGAAUCUGCGUUUGUCUGAUACUAGAUUUUUGUGUUUACAUAAAAAUGUAAGCUCUAUAAACAUGUUCUUAGACAUACAAGACGUUGAGUGAGUGAUAGUCAAGAUAUACAGGAUUAAAGAAAGCUUUAACGCACGCUAGGUUACCCUGUUUAAUACAUCCUGGUUGACUUUACCAAAUUACAUAAGUAGUUAAAGCCUCUGUGAGGAAUUUUUGACUUUUUAAAAAUUAACUGAAAUUUAUAUUUAUUAAUUUUUACGAUGUACAGAAGCGAACGAGACAAUCAGCGACAAGAUUGAUGAUUUUUACACCAGAAUCAACCAAACAGCUGAGGACUGAUUGAGGAACUGUAACAUAAAUUUACCAUAAGAGGAAAAAAUGCCACCAGAGAAUAAUUGUACGGUCUGUUCAAUUAAGAGAGCACGGCUCUUAGAACCACAGCCAAGCCAGGUCACAUGAGUACCACAUACCGUACUCCAUAAACUGGCUCAGACCACAUUUUUAAGCCUCAGGUUAUGAAUGGCGGGCGUUCAAGAGCUGUGGGAACAAUUAGAGUCAGAUGCUAUUUUAAAACUGUGUAAUGCUUUUCAAUGUUUUACAACCUUGUCAGACUGGUUAUUUAAUAAUUUCAUGAACCGUAGAUGAACAUGUUUAGACUUGUAUGGAC
rnacentral:lncRNA from 1 species